UAAAGUGAAGAGUUUGAUACUGGCUCAGAUUGAACGCUGGCGGAAUGCUUAACACAUGCAAGUCGGGCGGUAACACUUCGGGUGACGAGCGGCGGACGGGUGCGUAACGCGUGAGAAUCUGCCUUUUAGUGGGGGA
rnacentral:rRNA from 1 species